ensembl:lncRNA
UGCAGCAGAAGUUUCUCAUACCAGAAAAUUCAGCACUGAAAGUCACAGAUGAGCAGGGUAUAGAGGUGGAUGAGGAUGUCUUUCCUGAACUUGCAGCAGUCAAAGAGGUGUGUUUUGUCAUCUAUACAGGUGAAGACAUCCUGGAAACACAAUCAUCCAAGAAGCUGCGUGACUGCUCAGACCUAACACACUAUGUGACACUCACACCUUGUGAUUUGACUGUCCUGAAGCAACAUGUGGAAGAGCCCUCCUCUCCAAAUCUAACAGAUACAUUGUCUGUCUCAACCACCAGCAGUCAGAGCAGUGACACAAGUGAUGCCGGACUUCAAAUGGUUCAGCCUCUAUUGGACAGCAUACAUGAAAGAAAUGUAAAUGAAACCAUUCCUAAGAACAUACUGGUCCUAGAAAGGGAGAAAGUAAGACAUUUCAAAUGUUUUGAUGCCCAAAUGUCAUAUGGGUGUGAUUCACAAUUUUAUGUUCUGUGAGAGAGUUGCAUUACUUAAUUUGUUGGCUUGAUGGAGACUUUACAGAGUCUUCCUCACAUUAACACUGCAUUACAAGAAGUGCUUAUUCUGUAGUCUUUUUUUUUCUUUAAUUCUGUUUUUCUUUUCGCCCAAUGUUAGGCCUAUCUGACCACACAAUGUCUCAACUGUUUAGCUGCCAAUAAUGGUGGAUGUUAUGCUAUUACAGUACUGUUACACAGAAUGUAUGUUAAUCCAUGCAGCAUUCAUAUUUGAAUAUGUUAUUUUUGAUAAAUAAAAUUCAUACAUUCAUAA